CGACAGAUAUGUCACAUAAGUACGUGCCUUGUAAACCAUUAUAUGGGAAGUAAAACAUAUUUAUUGCGAUGUCAUCAUAUUCUUCCAUUUUAAUUGUGGUUCAAGUAAGACAUGAUACAGAAAGCCGUUAUUGUAUUGAUUGUGGUAAUUACCCUUGAUGCCGUGGUUCCUGUUGAUUCUGCCGAAGUACGUUCCAAAAGACAAACAUGGCAAAGUUUGGUGGAUUCGAUUAAAGAUUUCGGAAACAAAGUUGUGAGUUCAGCGGAAAGUGCCGGAUCGAGUAUAAAAUCAUUUUUCAAUAAGACGGGACGAUGGAUACAAAGAAAUAUGGGAUAUUGAAAAUAUUUAUAAGUUAUAUUUUAUAGAAUGGAUUGUAGGUUCAAUUUGUGUAUAUAUUAAGUGGUUCCUAAUUAUAAUUAUGACUAUUU